rnacentral:lncRNA from 1 species
CCAUUUCUUCAGGAUCCAUCUCAUACAUGAGCGUUGGUCCUGCAUCUUUCUCCUUAACAGGAUCUUCCUUUGACUCCUCUGCAUCUUCCUCCUUGACAGGUUCUUCCUUUGACUCCUCUCCAUCUUCCUCCAUGACAGGACAUUCCUUUGAGUCCUCUGCAUCUCUCUCUUUCACGGCAUCUUCCUUUGAACCCUCUGCAUCGUCCUCCUUCACAGGAUAUUCCUUUGAGUACUCUGCAUCUUCCUUCUUGACAAGAUCUUCCUUCGACUCCUCUGCAUCUUUCUCCAUUACAGCAUCUUCCUUUGAACACUCUG